rnacentral:lncRNA from 1 species
UCACUUGUCAUAGGUCUGUGUUCUGUUCUUCCUCAAGAAAUCAGGUCAUUAUUUGUUUUAUAUUAAAACAAACACAAAUUGAAGAAUACCCAUACAUAAACGUCUAAAAUCCCAAUCCAGGUCUAGAAUAAGGAAAUACUUACCAAAGUCCCUCAACAAAUUGUACUCCAGUUGAUCAACGAUCUAGAAUCACCAUACAUAAGUAUAAUUAGAUUUACUUGAUGAAAAUGAAUUAAACUCUAGGAAAACUACUAACAGUGGCCGUUUUAGGUAAUUAUCAUAACAAGCUCGU